rnacentral:misc_RNA from 1 species
AAGUCGUAACAAGGUAUCCGUAGGUGAACCUGCGGAUGGAUCAUUCAAACGAGGGCCAUUGGUCCGCCAGUCUUGUGCAAUGUGUGAUGGAGUUGGCGCGCCACCACUGUCAAGGUGUGUGUGCCAGCCAGCCUUUUUUCCAAACACUUUUAUCCCAUGUUUCUGAACACAACCGUAAGAACCUUGAAAACUGCCAGCAAUGGAUCCCUCGGUUCUC